rnacentral:lncRNA from 1 species
AGGCAGCACACUGCUCCUCUCAGGGCCCUCCAAUUCAUAUGCUCUGAUUCCCACACCAUCUCCUUGAGGUUGGCACUAUGGUGGUGGGCACGGCACAGGUGAGGAAACAGCCCGGGCAGGGGACAAAGCUUGCCCAGACCUGCAGAGCUGGGAUUCACCUUGAGAGUUCCUGACACUUGUUCUCCUGUCCUCUCUUCAUCUGAAUGGAAGAGUGAAGGCCGUAGCUAACAGAAUGUUUGGAUCCCCCAAAAUUGAUGUGCUGAAACCUAACCCCCCAGUGUGAGGGUAUUUAGAGGUGGGGCCUUUGGGAGGUGAUGAGGUCUUCCAGCGUGAAGCCCUCAAGAAUGGGAUACUGCCCUUUAAAAGAGGCCCCCGGGAGAUCUCUCCCUUGUCUCUUCUACCUUGUAUUGUGGUUCAGUGUCCGACUCUCUCUGACCCCAUGGACUGCAGCACACCAGGCUUCCCUGUCCUUCACCAUCUCCCGGAGGGUGCUCAAGCUCAUGUCCGUUGUGUUGAUGAUACCAUCCACCUUGUGAGGUUAUACCCAAAAGAUGGCCGAACCAGGAAGUGGGCUCUUACCAGACACUGAAUCUGGCAGCACCUUGAUCCUGGACUUUUCAACCUCCGGAACUGUGAGAAAAAGGUCUUUUGUUCAAAGCCACCCCACCCCCUCCACCAGCCUGCGAUAUUCUGUUAUAGCAGCAUGAAUUGGACUAAGUGGCUAAGGCAGCCACUUUCCCUAUCUGCGCACACUGUUGAUCCUUCCAUCUGUCUAUCCACUCAUCCAUCCACGCAUCCAUGUACCCACCUAACCAUCUAUGCAUCCAUCUAUCCAUCCACAGCUGUGCAAUUUGCUUUGCAAGCCAUGCUACAUGGGGCCGGAAGCCGCGAAGAACUGCAAUCAGAGCUCUAGGAGACAGGAGAGAGGAUAUUUCAGGAGGGAGGAACUGCAUGAACAUCCGAGUGGAGGUGAGAGACAGUAGGUGGACCCAGGGUGGGGGAGCAAGAGGAGGAAAGGGAAG